CCGCUCUGUACGUCGAGCUCUGUGUUACAGUUGGUCACAGUCUGUUGUCCUGUGGGUUUCAGGAAAUGAAACUAUCUUAACACAGUCUGCCUCAGAAAUUUGCAAACAGGACUAUAAAUUGGGGUGGAAAGUGGGAAUCCAAUCCUUGUUAUGAGCCAGGAGUGGCCUUUGGUACUUACAUCUAAGAAUCACGACUGAUCUUCAUCAGAAGUCCUUAGGCAAGUCAUAUCCUCAAUUUUAUAGGUAAAAAUCCUGAGGCUUUAAGUGGAGUAGGGCGAUUGUAUGAGUCCACUCUCUGCCACUAAAAUCAGAUCUGUGAGGCAGUUAACUUGGAAAGAGGAAAGGUUUCCUUGGCGUACGCUUUUGAAGGUUCCAGCUUAUGACUGAGUGCCCUAAUACUUGGGGCCUCCGGAGAGACAGUAAGUACAUCAUGGCCAGAGGGUGUGCUGGAAGAAACCUCUCACCGUGUGAGCUAGGGGAAAAGAGAAAACAAACAGGAAGAAGAAGAGACUGGGGCCCCACAGUUCCCUGCAAGGGCAUGCCCUCAGUGACCUGAGGACUCUGACUAGGCACCAACCUCCAAAAGUCCCUCUUCCUCCCAGUAGCACUGCCUGGGGACUAAUCUUUUCCAGGUGGUCCCUGGGGAUGUCCUCUUCCAAACCACAGCUGGGACUGAUUCAGGGUUGUGCAACUGGCAGGGGACGGACCCCAGACCUGUGAUCCUUUCUGAUAUGGACCUCCUUCCCUCCCCCCAGGCUUUAAGGCAUUGGUUGGACUGCUAGCCUCUCAAAAUGGACUGGAGACCUGCCUAAGAACCCUCCCCACCCUGGUAUUCCUCAAUGGUGGAAGUCCACGUGACCAAGCUUCAGCUGUGUGAACUGUACAGUGGAUGCGUCUGAAGCACCCAUCCCUGACUUCUGGGUGCGCCACCGACACCUUAGGAAAGGCCAAGGGGUACUCUGUCUAGUCUGCAUCUGCUCUGCUGGCAUCAGCCUACAGGUCACUCAUUACGAGGGACCGUGGGCUCCUACCUUCAUAACUGAAGUCUCAGAUCCAAUGACCAGAAAAUUCCAGAAACAGCACAUCCCUCUGCAGCCUGGAACAGAAUCCUACUGGAAAGCGGUUUCUUCCGGAGCUACGUGGUAAAAAGGCAGAAUCAUUGGAAACAUUUUCUCUUGGAUAUUUUGUCUUCGAAUUUUUACCAGUAAUGUCACUGAGGUCACACAACGUUAAGUGACCAUUUGUUUUUGUUUCUGGGGCCAUAUGUCACUCCUGCCCUCAGGAAUCUUUGGGGAGCUCAGUCAAGAGGUGUACAUCGGUGCUUGGUGCUGGAACCCAUUGCCAGAGAAGAAAUAGGCGUAUUGGGAGGAAGGAGGCCUGGGUCCUGUGUAGCAGUAGCUCCUCCUCCAUUGGCGCCCCACGGGGACUUCAGCAGUAACGCGUUCCACAGCAAGAAUGCACUGCUUUGUGGAAGACUUUGUCAUACCCUGAGGAUUUGAUGGCGAAUCCACAAAUACAGUUUUAAUAACUGAGACUAACAGAUCCGCCCUACACACAAUGUUGGACUGCUUUGUCCCCUGCAGGGUGACACGCGUGUUCUGAGUCACCCAAACCAGGGAUCCACAGGGAAGCCUGGGACAGAAACCGAGCUUUCCCUCUCUGCUUUAACCCUGGACAGAAUGCUCACCCAGAGUCCAGGGCAGCCUGAGCACCCCUGCCAGGAACAGCUGCCGGGUGUCAGGUCAGCCUUGGGGACCCCAGCUAACGCCUGGUAGUGCUUUAUGUCCUUGCCAUUGGGUAACUGAAAAUCAGUUCCUCUGCAAGGACGUGAAUGCCAUGGGCCAUUAUCUUUUAGAUACAAAUGACCUUCUUGUUGCCUCUUUAAAGAUAAUCUCUGGCAUCCUUGUGUAUCCUCGCAGAGUGUGUUCAGGGGGGAUGGUCCCAGAUAAUCUAGGCAAUUUGUCGUUGGAUUAUCACUUGUUACAGAGCAGCAGUGCCUGUUUCCCCUUGCUCUGAUGGCAUGAGAUGCAGCUUGGUGACUUUUUUCAUUUAUUUCUGUAAGAAACUUAAGAGUUUGGGCAGAUAAAAUGGAGAGUCCACAAACUCCCCACCCUCUGUCUCAUCCCAAGGGCCAGGAGGACGUUUGGAAAACUCAGGGCCUGGAGAGGGAUCAUCUUCUUCCACUGUCAGGAUUUUGUCUGAGGAAAGAUUUGUAGAUGAAUUAACAGAGAGGUCUGAGAGACCCAGUUCUGUCACCUCUCCAGGCUUCCAAUGGACAGGCAAAGCAAUUUUAAUCUUAAAAAUGAUGUCCCAGAGAGUUGUGAAAAAGGCUGGUGCAGACCAGCCCACACUUCCCUCAGUGGCUCCUGUCUUGCCCACCUGAGGACAAGGUGCGCUCUCACCUGCAUCCAUCCUGGUGACGUCUCCGCAGAGCUCCCUGAUACUCUUGACGUCCGCACUGAGGCUCCUAACAUUUUCUGCUCCCUUUUCUCCUGGUCAGCUCUGAGAAGGCACAGCCAGCCCACCUCUACUGCCUUACCUCCCCGGAGCCCUCGCUCUCCCAUGGCCUCAAGUCUGACAGGACCUGUCUGUACCGGAACCAGACACCGUUAUGAUUUCAGCUAGUGAUAUUUUUAUUAUCUUUAAUCUUUAAAACUACUGAACAAUUUU
rnacentral:lncRNA from 1 species